AUUGAACGCUGGCGGCAGGCUUAACACAUGCAAGUCGAGCGGAGAGAGGUAGCUUGCUACUGAUCUUAGCGGCGGACGGGUGAGUAAUGCUUAGGAAUCUGCCUAUUAGUGGGGGACAACAUUUCGAAAGGAAUGCUAAUACCGCAUACGUCCUACGGGAGAAAGCAGGGGAUCUUCGGACCUUGCGCUAAUAGAUGAGCCUAAGUCGGAUUAGCUAGUUGGUGGGGUAAAGGCCUACCAAGGCGACGAUCUGUAGCGGGUCGGAGAGGAUGAUCCGCCACAAUGGGACUGAGCCACCGGCCAGACUCCUACGGGAGGCAGCAGUGGGGAAUAUUGGACAAUGGGCGGAAGCCUGAUCCAGCCAUGCCGCGUGUGUGAAGAAGGCCUUAUGGUUGUAAAGCACUUUAAGCGAGGAGGAGGCUACUUUAGUUAAUACCUAGAGAUAGUGGACGUUACUCGCAGAAUAAGCACCGGCUAACUCUGUGCCAGCCGCCGCCGUAAAAC
rnacentral:rRNA from 1 species